CUACGGGUGGCUCCAGUGAGGAAUAUUGCACAAUGGGGGGAACCCUGAUGCAGCAACGCCGCGUGGAGGAUGACGCAUUUCGGUGUGUAAACUCCUUUUAUAUGUCAAGAAAAUGACGGUAGCAUAUGAAUAAGCACCGGCUAACUCCGUGCCAGCAGCCGCGGGAAUACGGAGGGUGCAAGCGUUACUCGGAAUCACUGGGCGUAAAGGACGCGUAGGCGGGUUGGAAAGUCAGGUGUGAAAUCCUACAGCUUAACUGUAGAACUGCACUUGAAACUUCUAAUCUAGAGUAUGGGAGGGGUAGAUGGAAUUAGUGGUGUAGGGGUAAAAUCCGUAGAUAUCACUAGGAACACCUAAAGCGAAGGCGAUCUCCUGGAACAUUACUGACGCUAAGGCGUGAAAGCGUGGGGAGCAAACAGGAUUAGAUACCCCAGUAGUC
rnacentral:rRNA from 1 species